rnacentral:rRNA from 1 species
CCUACGGGUGGCAGCAGUAAGGGAUAUUGGUCAAUGGCGGAAACGCUGAACCAGCAACGCCGCGUGAGGGAAGACGGUUUUCGGAUUGGAAACCUCUGUCCACUGUGAAGUUAAUGACGGUAGCAGAGGAUGAAGCUCCGGCUAACUACGUGCCAGCAGCCGCGGUAAUACGUAGGCAGCGAGCGUUGUCCGGAUUUACUGGGUGUAAAGGGUGCGUAGGUGGCUUGGCAAGUCAGUAGUGAAAUCCAUGGGCUUAACCAAUGAACUGCUAUUGAAACUGUCGAGCUUGAGUGAAGUAGAGGUAGGCGGAAUGCGCGGUGUAGCGGUGAAAUGCGUAGAGAUCGGGAGGAACACCAGUGGCGAAGGCGGCCUACUGGGCUUUAACUGACGCUGAGGCACGAAAGCGUGGGGAGCAAACAGGAUUAGAUACCCUAGUAGUC